GCGCCCGUAGCUCAAUUGGAUAGAGCAGGGGACUCCUAAGCCCAAGGUUGGUGGUUCAAUUCCGCCCGGGCGCACCA
rnacentral:tRNA from 1 species